rnacentral:misc_RNA from 1 species
AAGUCGUAACAAGGUUUCCGUAGGUGAACCUGCGGAAGGAUCAUUAACACGUAUCCAAACGUUAAAACCCCCCCCGUGAACCUUCAUCCUGCUCUUGUAACCCGCGUAGUUCGCAAUCUCUGAUAAAUCAUAGCCCGGAAAGUUGUAGUGAUUCAGAGACCUCUGGCUACGUGCGAACAUUGGAACAGUUACAAUCGAGCGGUAGUUCUAUAGGCAAUGUUUCCCCAAGCAGUCAGUGUCGGAAAGUGUCAUUGAUUGCGCAAGGAUAGCGCUUCUACGAUUCCUGUAGACCGUACCCUAAUAACCCCACAGUUUAAUGUGAAGCUCAAUGUAAUACAUUGGGUAAAAAAACCGAACAACUGUCAACAAUGGAUAUCUUGGUUCUC